CACGUUCUGACCUUUAUUUUCUGUGUUUUUGUAUUUAGUUAGUAUGGUCAGGGCGUGAGUUGGGUGGGCAGUCUAUGUUUGUUUGUCUAGGUUUUGGGAAUUUCUAUGUUUCGGCCUAGUAUGGUUCUCAAUCAGAGGCAGGUGUCAUUAGUUGUCUCUGAUUGAGAAUCAUACUUAGGUGGCCUGGGUUUCACUGUGUGUUUGUGGGUGAUUGUUUCCUGUCUCUGUGUGUGCACCAGAUAGGACUGUUUUUUGAGUUUUCACAUUUCUUGUUUUGUUAGUUUGUUCAUGUGUACCUUAUAGCAUUAAAAAGUACCAUGGAAAAUUA